ensembl:snRNA U6 U6 spliceosomal RNA
GUGCUCACUUGAGCAGCACAUAUACUAAAAUUUGAACAACACAGAGAGGAUUAGCAUGGCCCCCGCACAAAGAUGACACACAACUUCAUGAAACAUUUAAAAAAAAA